rnacentral:rRNA from 1 species
UGGGGAAUUUUGGACAAUGGGCGCAAGCCUGAUCCAGCCAUGCCGCGUGCGGGAAGAAGGCCUUCGGGUUGUAAACCGCUUUUGUCAGGGAAGAAAUCUUCUGAGUUAAUACCUCGGGAGGAUGACGGUACCUGAAGAAUAAGCACCGGCUAACUACGUGCCAGCAGCCGCGGUAAUACGUAGGGUNCAAGCGUUAAUCGGAAUUACUGGGCGUAAAGCGUGCGCAGGCGGUUUUGUAAGACAGAGGGUGAAAUCCCCGGGCUCAACCUGGGAACUGCCUUUGUGACUGCAAGGCUUGAGUGCGGCAGAGGGGGGAUGGAAUUCCGCGUGUAGCAGUGAAAUGCGUAGAUAUGCGGAGGAAACACCGAUGGCGAAGGCAAUCCCCCUGGGCCUGCACUGAC